AAUAAAAAUAAUAAUAAUAAAUAAAUAAAUAAAUAAAAAAAUAAAAAUAAUAAUAAAAAAAUAAAUAAAAUAUAAUAGAAAAAAACUUGGACUUGGACCUCUCUCAUUUGAGCCCACAAAGCCAUGAAAAUCAUGUUAUAAAAGAGGGAGAUCAGACAGAAAAAGGAAGAGAAGCAAAAUACUCUGAGGUUUCCUUGAAACAAAACCCUGGACAAAACCUGAAGAGAAACCUGACAGAGAACUCAGAGCAACCCCCAGGCAGCUCUGAAAAAUUCAAUCUGACUCACACACUUUCAUCUCACGCAAACCCUAACAUUGC
rnacentral:lncRNA from 1 species